CUUACUCGGAUGGCUGUUAUUGAUUUAUUUGGAAUUUUCUCAUUCAUAACAUUCUUACUUAGAAGUUUCUCAUUCAUAUCAUUCUUACUUUUGCCAUAAAAUAUAAAGAAAGAUCAAAAUGAAAAAGUAUUCAUGUUUAGCCAAGAAAGCUUGAGAGUUCAAGGCGUCUUUCUUGAGUUUUUCAAUUUCAAUGAUGUUCUUCAAGAAUUUACUCGUAUCGAUUGUAACUUUAAGUUGUGUAGUGAAACAACUAUUUGUAGCUGCUAAGCUGCCUCAAGCCGAGGUUGAUGUUCUGAAUCAAAUCGUCAAAACAAUGGGAGCUACUAACUGGACUUUUGAUGCCGAUACUGCUUGUGAACUCCAUGAGGAAUUGCCUGUGACAGAAUUAACCACGAACAUUACUUGCAUACUUGGACCCGAUCAUAGUACACACCACAUUUCAGUAAUAGAAUUCAAACGUUACAGCCUUUCUGGAGUUCUUCCACCAGAACUGAACCAGCUUCCCAAUAUCUCUAAAGU